GAGGUACAUGGUGAAAGUAUCAGCGUGGAAUCAUCACCUAGUGUGCCAGUAAUGAACAAUUUUACCCGGUUUUCCUUCCACCGCCCACCCAGCGCUGCUGCGGCUUCUGCUACAAGAGCAACUGCAAGUCCAAGACCUACCGUGGCAAAAGCAUUCCAAAGCCUCUGUUUUGGGUAUCACCAGUAAGGUCACUGAUGCCCUUGAACAAGAUGACUCAUUCGUCCUUACAGAUGGUCAAGGAAACAAAAUCCUAGAUUCCGAAGGAACCAGAGGAUCAGCAUUUUGGAAGCAAAAUGCAAGGAAAGUAUUUGCUGUGAAGGAAGAAGACUUACUGCAGUUACAAGCAAGUAAAAAGAGAAGACUGAGGUACAAUAGUAUCUUUUAACUAAAGAAUAUUAAUAUCUAUAUGUAUAUUGUUCUAGGUAAAGA
rnacentral:lncRNA from 1 species